GAUGAACGCUAGCGGCAGGCCUAAUACAUGCAAGUCGAACGGUGUCUUCGGACAUAGUGGCGCACGGGUGCGUAACACGUAUGCAACCUACCUUACAUUGGGGGAUAGCCUUUCGAAAGGGAGAUUAAUACCGCAUAAGACAGUAGCUGGGCAUCCAGCAGCUGUUAAAGAUUUAUCGAUGUAAGCUGGGCAUGCGUCCAAUUAGCUAGUUGGUGAGGUAACGGCUCACCAAGGCAAUGAUUGGUAGGGGAACUGAGAGGUCAAUCCCCCACACUAGCACUGCGUUACGGGCCAGACUCCUACGGGAGGCGGCAGUAGGGAAUAUUGGGCAAUGGACGCAAGUCUGACCCAGCCAUGCCGCGUGCAGGAUGAAGGCGUUAUGCGUUGUAAACUGCUUUUAUACAGGAAGAAACGACUCUUGCGAGAGGCAUUGACGGUACUGUAUGAAUAAGCACCGGCUAACUCCGUGCCAGCAGCCGCGGUAACAC
rnacentral:rRNA from 1 species